GACCUGUGAAUAUGUGGCCGACUUUACUUAAGACGCCGAGGCGCUUUUUUCCUUCUCGAUAGAGCCAUUUAGACAGAAGCGCCACGUCUCGGACUCACCUUAAAGUACCUCCACUCUGUGUACUCCUUCAGGUUGCAGUGUGUGAUGAUGACGGAGGUCUCCGAGCCCUUGGUCAGGCACUGGUCGUACUGCAUCAGCUGAUUCGCUUCGUUUAUUCGGAACAGCUGUAACAUAAAGUGAGGCGGUGGAUUUACAGGGUGGAUGAAGCUCACGGAUUCAUGUGGAAAUCAUUUCGAGUUGGAUUUACUGACAGUAUAAGCUUCCUGUUAAUCAUUUCCUAUAUACAGGUGCAUCUCAAUAAAUCAGAAUGUCAUGGAAAAGUUCA